ensembl:lncRNA
GGGUGCCAAUAUUAGUGGAGGGCGCUGUAUAAGUUAAAAUGAUAUCUAUAGCAUAUUAAUAUUUUUCUCUCCAUCCUAUAGAUCUGCUACACAAUAAACAUCGGCAAGGAGAUUACAGAAGCUAAGAAGGAUCCAGACGCUCUGGCCGAGCUGAUGAAGUCUGUUCCGCUGACCAGUGACGGGAAGUUCCUGCUGCUGGAGAGCGAGACAGGAGAGGCGGCGAACGGAGAAGGAGAGGAUGACUUGGAGUCUGAGGCCUGAAAGUUGUUUAGGUUUCUCAAAGGAUAAGCGCUGACCUAGUUUAUUAUUUUUUUCUCGUCUCUUAUACUCUAACGAAGAUCUAAGGAGCUGAUCCUAGAUAUACACUUUACAUACGCACCGACUAUAGACUCUUAUGUUAUGGUACGUUUACGGCUCUGUUCUAACACUCCUGACGUCUGUCUCGAUGCUAAAUACCAAGUUUUGCUCUAUACAAAUAAUCAACAAGAGGGCUAAAGAUGGAGGUUGAAGAGGGAGUUUUACAUUCUAGCAGCUAAAUCAAUCCAGAGCAACAUAGUUCAUGCUAAAUACUGCACACCACCCCACUCUGAUCAGGUUCAGAUCAGAAUCUGGCAAAUCGUUGCCGUUUUUUUUUUUCUUUCCAUCGUGACCACGUUCACAUCGUCCUACGGCAUGAUCGAGACUCUUAAUAGCUGCUCUUCUCCGUUACAGUAAGGGAGCGCGAUGAAAAGACGAGGCUAGCGAAGAGUACCGCUCUCAUAUACAUGAAUAUCAGACAGGUUCGGACUUCUACUUGCACUUUCUCCCGACGCCUUCGCUCAAUAUAUUCUCUCUGCUAGUUCAGGAUUAAGGAGCUUGAUGUAAAGGCGUACCGUUUUAUUACUCUGACGUACUGAGACUUCUUCAGGCGCGAUCACGCUACACGGACGUCCGAUUUUGCAUUUAUUGAGAUUUCUAGAUCAAAUACGUUUGCUAAGCACAUCGCAGUAAUAGAAAGCCCGUGCGCUUGAGUUUCGACACACAGUACUGCUUAGCUAGACUGGCAACUUUCCCCGCUUAAGGCACAGGAUCGAACGGCACUUCCCAGAGCUACGUAUACUGCAUGUUGAGUUUUGGGUAAUUGCACUAAUCGGAAUGUAAAAGUAAUAGUACUGUAAUCCGGCUAAAUUCCACGCGGUUUGUCGAGAGAAAAUUUCUUUCCUUACGUGAUGACUGUGAAGCUGGUCCGGACCUCUGUGUGCCGAUUUACUUACUUACUUACGAAGAACGAGGCGUGUUUCAGCACACGUCACUGAACUAAA